rnacentral:rRNA from 1 species
AGUUGAUAUGGCUAGGACAAACGCUGGCGGCGUGCCUAAUACAUGCAAGUCGAACGGUCCCUCUUCGGGGGGAUAGUGGCGGACGGGUGAGUAACACGUAGAUGACCUGCCCUUUAGUGGGGAAUAACAUCUCGAAAGAGAUGCUAAUACCGCAUAAGUUCUCCUUCGUGGGGAGGAGAAGAAACCUGUUUCGUGACAGGGAUGGGGCUGAAGGAGGGGUCUGCGGCGGAUUAGCUAGUUGGUGAGGUAACGGCCCACCAAGGCGACGAUCCGUAGCUGGUCUGAGAGGACGGCCAGCCACACUGGGACUGAGACACGGCCCAGACUCCUACGGGAGGCAGCAGUAAGGAAUAUUCCGCAAUGGGCGAAAGCCUGACGGAGCGACGCCGCGUGAAGGAGGAAGCCCUUCGGGGUGUAAACUUCUUUUCUUUGGGAUGACACAUCCCCCAGGUGCAAGCCUGGGAGAUUAGGACAGUACCAGAGGAAUAAGCCUCGGCUAACUACGUGCCAGCAGCCGCGGUAAUACGUAGGAGGCGAGCGUUAUCCGGAUUUACUGGGCGUAAAGCGCGCGCAGGCGGCACACUAAGUACGAUGUGAAAUCUCCCUGCUCAACGGGGAGGGUGCAUAGUAAACUGGUGAGCUAGAGGACGGUAGAGGGGGGUGGAAUUGCUGGCGUAGCGGUGAAAUGCGUAGAGAUCAGCAGGAAACACCGUGGC